CAGAUUGCAGUCUGCAACUCGACUGCAUGAAGUCGGAAUCGCUAGUAAUCGCGGAUCAGCAUGCCGCGGUGAAUACGUUCCCGGGCCUUGUACACACCGCCCGUCACACCAUGAGAGUCGGGAACACCCGAAGUCCGUAGCCUAACCGCAAGGGGGGCGCGGCCGAGGUGGGUUCGAUAAUUGGGGUGAAGUCGUAACAAGGUAAC
rnacentral:rRNA from 1 species